GAGUUUGAUCAUGGCUCAGGAUGAACGCUAGCGGCAGGCUUAAUACAUGCAAGUCGAGGGGCAGCAGCUUUAUAGCAAUAUAGAGGCUGGCGACCGGCAAACGGGUGCGGAACACGUACACAACCUUCCUUGAAUAGGGGGAUAGCCCAUAGAAAUGUGGAUUAAUACCCCGUAAUAUAGCGGUGUGGCAUCACACUGUUAUUAUAGUUUCGGCGAUUCGAGAUGGGUGUGCGGCUGAUUAGGUAGUUGGCGGGGUAAAGGCCCACCAAGCCUUCGAUCAGUAGCUGAUGUGAGAGCAUGAUCAGCCACACGGGCACUGAGACACGGGCCCGACUCCUACGGGAGGCAGCAGUAAGGAAUAUUGGUCAAUGGACGCAAGUCUGAACCAGCCAUGCCGCGUGAAGGAUGAAGGUCCUCUGGAUUGUAAACUUCUUUUAUAGGGGGCGAAAAAAGGUCUUUCUAGAUCACUUGACAGUACCCUAUGAAUAAGCACCGGCUAACUCCGUGCCAGCAGCCGCGGUAAUACGGAGGGUGCAAGCGUUAUCCGGAUUCACUGGGUUUAAAGGGUGCGUAGGCGGGUAGGUAAGUCAGAGGUGAAAUCCUGGAGCUUAACUCCAGAACUGCCUUUGAUACUAUCUAUCUUGAAUAUGGUGGAGGUAAGCGGAAUAUGUCAUGUAGCGGUGAAAUGCAUAGAUAUGACAUAGAACACCUAUUGCGAAGGCAGCUUACUACGCCUAUWUUGACGCUGAGGCMCGAAAAGCGUGGGAUCAAACAGGAUUAGAWACYCUGKUAGUCCACGCCCUUAAMRAWGAAUACUCGACGUAUGCGAWUAMAAGUAKGCGYCUGAACGAAAGCAUUWARUWAUCCACCYUGGGAAGUACRACCGCMAKGUUKAAACUCAAMGGAAUUKGCCGUGGGGCUCYSUACACGGSGSWA
rnacentral:rRNA from 1 species